UCUGGGUGCCAUUUACAAACCAUAAGUGCUAAUGACUCCAUUCCUUUUUGUGGUUGUAGGGGCUGUUGAUUGGAGAACAAUAAAACAAACUUAACCUCUCUAGGACAUUCAGAAGCCAAGUUAUAAGCCCACAAAGGUGUAACUGGACUACUUCUUUAAAGUGCAUGUCAAGUGUGCCUCAGAGUCUUACCCCACCCACGUAUCAAUUUUGAAAACUGCAACAUUAGUAGGCGUUGCCUGGAGGACCGAGAGGGCGGAGCCGUGGCAGUGACGAAGAGACGGCUAACUAGACGAAGCUAGCUCCCUUCACUCUGAGCAGUCAUUAGAAGUGGAGGACGUUUCUCCCCCUCCUUACCCAGACACUCGAGAAGAAAGGGACCAAGUCUAUUUGGAGGAGACAACCGGACAUGAGCCUUAUUGUUUUGAGCUUGUGAGUUGCCUGAAAUUACUGGAACCGACCCAACAGACCCAUCUCUGAACGUGAUCCUCUGGUGUCUGCAGCUGGUCUCCUGCUGAUGUCGUCGGGAUCAGGAACUUCCAGAAGAAUGUGCCUUUCAAUGACUCUUUCCCCCUUAUUUGUUAUAUUAAUUAAAUAAAUCUCAAUUUAUA